AGUGAACGCUGGCGGUAGGCCUAACUCAUGCCAGUCGAACGGCAGCACAGUAAGAGCUUGCUCUUACGGGUGGCGAGUGGCGGACGGGUGAGGAAUACAUCGGAAUCUACUUUUUCGUGGGGGAUAACGUAGGGAAACUUACGCUAAUACCGCAUACGACCUACGGGUGAAAGCAGGGGAUCUUCGGACCUUGCGCGAUUGAAUGAGCCGAUGUCGGAUUAGCUAGUUGGCGGGGUAAAGGCCCACCAAGGCGACGAUCCGUAGCUGGUCUGGGAGGAUGAUCAGCCACACUGGAACUGAGACACGGUCCAGACUCCUACGGGAGGCAGCAGUGGGGAAUAUUGGACAAUGGGCGCAAGCCUGAUCCAGCCAUACCGCGUGGGUGAAGAAGGCCUUCGGGUUGUAAAGCCCUUUUGUUGGGAAAGAAAAGCAGCAGGUUAAUACCCCGCUGUUCUGACGGUACCCAAAGAAUAAGCACCGGCUAACUUCGUG
rnacentral:rRNA from 1 species